GAUGAACGCUGGCGGCGUGCCUAAUACAUGCAAGUCGAGCGAACAGACGAGGAGCUUGCUCCUCUGACGUUAGCGGCGGACGGGUGAGUAACACGUGGAUAACCUACCUAUAAGACUGGGCUAACUUCGGGAAACCGGAGCUAAUACCGGAAAAUAUAUCGAACUGCAUGGUGCAAGAGUGAAAGACGGUUUUGCUGUCACUUAUAGAUGGAUCCGCGUCGCAGUGGCGAGUUGGUAAGGUAACGGCUUACCAAGGAAACGAUGCGUAGCCGACCUUUGAGGGUGUUCGCCCACACUGGACCUGAGACACGGUCCAGACUCCGACGGGAGGCAGCAGUAGGGAAUCGUCGGCAAUGGGCGGAAGCCUGACGGAGCAACGCCGCGCGAGUGAUGAAGGUCUUCGGAUCGUAAAACUCUGUUAGUAGGGAAGAACAAAUGUGUAAGUAACUAUGCACGUCUUGACGGUACCUAAUCAGAAAGCCACGGCUAACUACGUG
rnacentral:rRNA from 1 species